CAGCCCCGCGGUAAGACGGAGGCCCCUAGCGUUGUUCAGAAUCACUGGGCUUAAAGAGGUUGUAGCCGGAGCAGCAAGUACUUUGUGAAAGCCCCGGGCUCAACCCGGGAAUUGCUUGGUAUACUGUUGCUCUUGAGGCAGGUAGGGGUCACUGGAACCUUAGGUGGACCGGUGAAAUGCGUAGAUAUCUAAGGGAACGCCUGUGGCGAAAGCGGGUGACUGGGCCUGUCCUGACGCUGAGACCCGAAAGCGUAGGGAGCAAACAGGAUUAGAUACCCUGGUAGUCUACGCCGUAAACGAUGCGCACUAGGUUCGAGAGCUACUGACGGCCCUCGUGCCGAAGCAAAAGUACUAAGUGCGCCGCCUGGGGAGUACGGCCGCAAGGCUAAAACUCAAAGGAAUUGACGGGGGCUCACACAAGCGGUGGAGCAUGUGGAUCAAUUCGAAGCAACGCGAAGAACCUUACCUGGGUUUGACAUGCACGGAUGCCCUUCUGGAAACAGGAGUAAGCUGCCUUCGGGUGAAACGUGCACAGGUGCUGCAUGGCUGUCGUCAGCUCGUGCUGUGAAGUGUCGGGUUAAGUCCCUUAACGAGCGAAACCCUUGUCGCUAGUUGCCAGCGGGUCAUGCCGGGAACUCUAGCGAGACUGCCGGCGUUAAGCCGGAGGAAGGUGGGGAUGACGUCAAGUCAUCAUGGCCUUUAUGCCCAGGGUGUCACACGUGCUACAAUGGGGCGUACAGAGCGACGCAAGACCGUGAGGUGGAGCAAAUCGCAGAAAGCGUCCCUCAGUUCGGAUCGGGGUCUGCAACUCGACCCCGUGAAGCUGGAAUCGCUAGUAAUCGCGUAUCAGCCAUGACGCGGUGAAUAUGUUCCUGAGCAUUGUACACACCGCCCGUCAAGUCAUGGAAGCUGGGAGUUCCC
rnacentral:rRNA from 1 species